AGCUGAAUGGCGCAGCGGAAGCGCGCCGGGCUCAUAACCCGGAGGACGGUGGAUCGAAACCACUUUCAGCUA